rnacentral:lncRNA from 1 species
GCAAUAAGACAUUAAUAAGCAUGAAUCAAAUUAAUAAUAGACUUACAAUUGGAUAACUCUAUUGUUAUUAAGAAACAAUUGGAUAAUAAUAGAGAGCAACAACAAAAAAAAUAAAGAAAAGAAAAAGAACUGGCCUCAAUUUUUUUGAUUCUUAACUUUGAGGACUUGUUUAGUUGCGAAAAGUUUUUGGAUUUGUCUACUGUAGAAUUUUCGUUUUACUUGGCAAUUAGUGUCCAAUCAUGGACUAAUUGGGAUUAAAUGGUUCGCCUCACGAUUUACGGACAAACUGUGCAAUUAGUUUUUAUUUUCAUCAACAUUUAAUGCUCCAUGCAUAUGUCCAAAGAUUCGAUGUGAUGGGUUGAAAAGUUUUUGAGUGGGAAACUAAACAAGGCCCGUUAUGUAUUGACAUAUGUAUAUCUAGGUACAAAGCAAAACCUAUGUAUCAAAAUAAAGUAGAACGAAUUACAAUUUGAAGGUGCCACAGUAUUUUGUAGUGCCCAAAUCAUGGAGCAUGGCACCCUGGUGUACUCGUGGAGCCACCCUCUGGUGCAGGAAAAAUGUUGACUAGCAAGCACCUACAAGUAACAGCAAUGGUGUUACUUAUAUCUAUAUCUAAUAUUAAAGAGAG